GACGAACGCUGGCGGCGUGCUUAACACAUGCAAGUCGAACGGAAAGGCCCUGCUUUUGUGGGGUGCUCGAGUGGCGAACGGGUGAGUAACACGUGAGUAACCUGCCCUUGACUUUGGGAUAACUUCAGGAAACUGGGGCUAAUACCGGAUAGGAGCUCCUGCUGCAUGGUGGGGGUUGGAAAGUUUCGGCGGCUGGGGAUGGACUCGCGGCUUAUCAGCUUGUUGGUGGGGUAGUGGCUUACCAAGGCUUUGACGGGUAGCCGGCCUGAGAGGGUGACCGGCCACAUUGGGACUGAGAUACGGCCCAGACUCCUACGGGAGGCAGCAGUGGGGAAUAGUGCACAAUGGGCGGAAGCCUGAUGCAGCAACGCCGCGUGCGGGAUGACUGCCUUCGGGUUGUAACCCGCUUUCGCCUGUGACGAAGCGUGAGUGACGGUAAUGGGUAAAGAAGCACCGGCUAACUACGUG
rnacentral:rRNA from 1 species